GCCAGUAUAAAUAUAGCUCAGCUGGUUAGAGCGUGGUGCUGAUAACACCAAGGUUGCAGGUUUGAUCCCCGUUCUGGACA